GUGGUGCAUGGUUGUCGUCAGCUCGUGUCGUGAGAUGUUGGGUUAAGUCCCGCAACGAGCGCAACCCUUGAUCUUAGUUGCCAGCAUUUAGUUGGGCACUCUAAGGUGACUGCCGGUGACAAACCGGAGGAAGGUGGGGAUGACGUCAAAUCAUCAUGCCCCUUAUGACCUGGGCUACACACGUGCUACAAUGGAUGGUACAAAGGGCUGCAAGACCGCGAGGUCAAGCCAAUCCCAUAAAACCAUUCUCAGUUCGGAUUGUAGGCUGCAACUCGCCUACAUGAAGCUGGAAUCGCUAGUAAUCGCGGAUCAGCAUGCCGCGGUGAAUACGUUCCCGGGCCUUGUACACACCGCCCGUCACACCACGAGAGUUUGUAACACCCGAAGUCGGUGGAGUAACCGUAAGGAGCUAGCCGCCUAAGGUGGGACAGAUGAUUGGGGUGAAGUCGUAACAAGGUAGCCGUAUCGGAAGGUGCGGCUGGAUCACCUCCUUUCUA
rnacentral:rRNA from 2 species